rnacentral:rRNA from 1 species
GAUCCUGGCUCAGGACGAACGCUGGCGGCGUGCUUCAUACAUGCAAGUCGAACGAUAAGGUCCUUCGGGAAUACAUAAGUGGCGGACGGGUGAGUAAAAUGUAGAGAAUCUGCCCUAGAGCGGGGGACAACAGAGGGAAACUUCUGCUAAUACCCCAUAUGCGCGUAGUUGAGAUACUAUUCGUGAAAGAUUUAUCGCUCUAGGAUGAGUCUGCAUCUGAUUAGCUAGUUGGGGGUGUAAUGGACCACCAAGGCGACGAUCAGUAGCUGGUUUGAGAGGAUGAUCAGCCACAAUGGGACUGAGACACGGCCCAUACUCCUACGGGAGGCAGCAGUAGGGAAUUUUGCGCAAUGGGCGAAAGCCUGACGCAGACCAACGCCGCGUGAUCGCAGACGCCCUUCGGGGUGUAAAGAUCUGUCAGUAGGGACGAAUAAUGACUGUACCUACAGAGGAAGCACCGGCUAACUCCGUGCCAGCCGCUGC